AAAAUAAAAGCUUUGGAUUAGUCCCCAACUCUACUUUUGCGACUAUAGUUAUCGAGAUAAGUUCGUAUGAAUUAUUUACUCUUAGGGAAGAAUCGGUUCUCAUGGGUUUAAGUUAAAAUGGUUACAUUUAAAGUUACGAGCUUAAGGACUAAGUUGUGAAAAAGUUAAAAUAGGAAGGAUAAUUUUGUAAUUUCAUGAUAAUAUGAAUUAUAGAUUGAAUUGGAUACUUGAGGUUAUUUGAAGUACUUAAUUGAAUGAAAUUAUUUAUUUAGAUCAAGAUAAGCAACAACUGGAUUUAAAUCGGGGAAAAAUAAAAGCUUUGGAUUAGUCUCCAACUCUACUUUUGCGACUAUAGUUAUCGAGGUAAGUUCGUAUGAAUUAUUUACUCUUAGGGAAGAAUCGGUUAUCAUGGGUUUAAGUUAAAAUGGUUACAUUUAAAGUUACGAGCUUAAGGACUAAGUUGUGAAAAAGUUAAAAUAGAAAGGAUAAUUUUGUAAUUUCAUGAUAAUAUGAAUUAUAGAUUGAAUUGGAUACUUGAGGUUAUUUGAAGUACUUAAUUGAAUGAAAUUAUUUAUUUAGAUCAAGAUAAGCAACAACUGGACUUAAAUCGGGGAAAAAUAAAAGCUUUGGAUUAGUCUCCAACUCUACUUUUGCGACUAUAGUUAUCGAGGUAAGUUCGUAUGAAUUAUUUACUCUUAGGGAAGAAUCGGUUAUCAUGGGUUUAAGUUAAAAUGGUUACAUUUAAAGUUACGAGCUUAAGGACUAAGUUGUGAAAAAGUUAAAAUAGAAAGGAUAAUUUUGUAAAUAUAGAUUGAAUUGGAUACUUGAGGUUAUUUGAAGUACUUAAUUGAAUGAAAUUAUUUAUUUAGAUCAAGAUAAGCAACAACUGGACUUAAAUCGGGGAAAAAUAAAAGCUUUGGAUUAGUCUCCAACUCUACUUUUGCGACUAUAGUUAUCGAGGUAAGUUCGUAUGAAUUAUUUACUCUUAGGGAAGAAUCGGUUAUCAUGGGUUUAAGUUAAAAUGGUUACAUUUAAAGUUACGAGCAUAAGGACUAAGUUGUGAAAAAGUUAAAAUAGGAAGGAUAAUUUUGUAAUUUCAUGAUAAUAUGAAUUAUAGAUUAAUUGGAUACUUGAGGUUAUUUGAAGUACUUAAUUGAAUGAAAUUAUUUAUUUAGAUCAAGAUAAGCAACAACUGGACUUAAAUCGGGGAAAAAUAAAAGCUUUGGAUUAGUCUCCAACUCUACUUUUGCGACUAUAGUUAUCGAGGUAAGUUCGUAUGAAUUAUUUACUCUUAGGGAAGAAUCGGUUAUCAUGGGUUUAAGUUAAAAUGGUUACAUUUAAAGUUACGAGCUUAAGGACUAAGUUGUGAAAAAGUUAAAAUAGAAAGGAUAAUUUUGUAAAUAUAGAUUGAAUUGGAUACUUGAGGUUAUUUGAAGUACUUAAUUGAAUGAAAUUAUUUAUUUAGAUCAAGAUAAGCAACAACUGGACUUAAAUCGGGGAAAAAUAAAAGCUUUGGAUUAGUCUCCAACUCUACUUUUGCGACUAUAGUUAUCGAGGUAAGUUCGUAUGAAUUAUUUACUCUUAGGGAAGAAUCGGUUAUCAUGGGUUUAAGUUAAAAUGGUUACAUUUAAAGUUACGAGCUUAAGG